GACGAACCGUGCGAACGUUGUUCGGAAUCACUGGGCUUAAAGGGCGCGUAGGCGGGUUCUCAAGUCUGGAGUGAAAGCCCGCGGCUCAACCGCGGAAGCGCUUCGGAUACUGGGGGCCUCGAGGGAGGUGAGGGGCGUGCGGAACUUCCGGUGGAGCGGUGAAAUGCGUAGAUAUCGGAAGGAACACCGGUGGCGAAAGCGGCGCGCUGGACCUCUUCUGACGCUGAGGCGCGAAAGCCAGGGGAGCAAACGGG
rnacentral:rRNA from 1 species